rnacentral:lncRNA from 1 species
CCCCCCGCCCCACCUAAAGGGGCGAAAUUACCAGAAAACCAGUUGAUUAAUAACGGUAAAUGAUUACCCGACACUAUAACGAGUAAUCAUUUACCGAUCGUGUUUAAAACAUAUAAACACGACAGUUUGGGUUUUGAAACCCAUUAUUUCAAAACCCAAAUUUCCUUCCCCAAAUCGCACCCUCUUCAAUCUCUCUCAAAACUCGGUUCCACCACUUAAAUCUCCCUCAAAGCUCGGUUCUAAUCAUCAUUAAAGCUCCCUCAAAGACCCAUUCCAUUACAUUCAAAAGGUAAGUUUUGAUUUUCAAUGAUUCUCACAUUUCAAGUUUGAAUUAGGUGAAUGAUUGAACACUAGGGUAGUUGAUUGAUGAUUAGAGGUAGGUUUUGUUGUGUUUUGUUGCCUGAAAUUGCAUGAAAUGAGUAUGGGCACGAAUGGGGUGCAUUUGGGUCUGCUCUGGUUCACUGUA